rnacentral:rRNA from 1 species
GACGAACGCUGGCGGCGUGCUUAACACAUGCAAGUCGAACGGAAAGGCCCUGCUUUUGUGGGGUGCUCGAGUGGCGAACGGGUGAGUAACACGUGAGUAACCUUCCCUUGACUUUGGGAUAACUUCAGGAAACUGGGGCUAAUACCGGAUAGGAGCUCCUGCUGCAUGGUGGGGGUUGGAAAGUUUCGGCGGUUGGGGAUGGACUCGCGGCUUAUCAGCUUGUUGGUGGGGUAGUGGCUUACCAAGGCUUUGACGGGUAGCCGGCCUGAGAGGGUGACCGGCAAAAUUGGGACUGAGAUACGGCCCAGACUCCUACGGGAGGCAGCAGUGGGGAAUAUUGCACAAUGGGCGGAAGCCUGAUGCAGCAACGCCGCGUGCGGGAUGACGGCCUUCGGGUUGUAAACCGCUUUCGCCUGUGACGAAGCGUGAGUGACGGUAAUGGGUAAAGAAGCACCGGCUAACUACGUG